rnacentral:rRNA from 1 species
GAUCAUGGCUCAGAACGAACGCUGGCGGCGCGUUUAAGCAUGCAAGUCGAGCGGCAAGGGCCUUCGGGCCCUAGAGCGGCGGACGGGUGAGUAACACGUGGACAAUCUGCCCCCCGGCCCGGGAUAGCCCAGGGAAACCUGGAUUAAUACCGGAUGAGACGGGACCCGCGAUGGCGGGAUCCGGGAAAGGCGCUGCGGCGCCGCCGGGGGAUGAGUCUGCGUCCCAUUAGCUAGACGGCGGGGUAACGGCCCACCGUGGCGACGAUGGGUAGCCGGCCUGAGAGGGUGGACGGCCACAUUGGAACUGAGACACGGUCCAGACUCCUACGGGAGGCAGCAGCUAAGAAUCUUCCGCAAUGGGCGAAAGCCUGACGGAAGCGACGCCGCGUGAACGAAGAAGGCCGUGAGGUUGUAAAGUUCUUUUCGGGAGGGGGAACAACCGUGGCAGGGAAUGGCCGCGGGAUGACGUGAAUCCCGGAAUAAGCCCCGGCUAACUACGUGCCAGCCGCCGC